rnacentral:rRNA from 1 species
UAUCAAAAACAUAGCUUCUAGCUUAACAAGUAUUAGAAGUAACGCCUGCCCUGUGGAACCCUAAACGGCCGCGGCACUAAAACCGUGCAAAGGUAGCACAAUCACUUGUCCCUUAAAUGAGGACCCGUAUGAAAGGCAAUAUGAGAGAAAACCUGUCUCCCAAGGCCAGCCAAUGAAAUUGAACUACCAGUACAAAAGCUGGUAUCUACAAGCAAGACAAAAAGACCCCGUGGAACUUUAACGAACUGUUUACACAAAAUAAACAAUAGUUUUAGUUGGGACAACUUUAGAAAAAAUAAACUUCUAAAAAACCACAGACCAACAAGUCGCACCCACCACCGACCCAGUCCUACUGAUUAACGAAACAAGCUACCCCAGGGAUAACAGCGCCACCUUCUAAAAGAGUCCAUAUCAACAAGAAGAUCUACGACCUCGAUGUUGGAUCAGGGUACCCAGGCGGUGCAGCAGCUGCCAAAGGUUCGUUUGUUCAACGACUAACACCCUACGUGAUCUGAGUU